rfam:Oryza meridionalis cultivar OR44 (W2112) chromosome 1, whole genome shotgun sequence.
AAUAAGUGCAAGGCAUAGGUAUCAGUGUGUAGUGUUUUGACCAUUUGUCUUAUUUAAAAAAUUUAUGAAAAAAUUAAAAAAAUAGUCACACGUAAAGUACUACUCAUGUUUUAUCAUGUAAUAACAAUAAAAAUACUAAUUAUAAUUUUUUUUAAAUAAGACGAACGGUCAAAUGUUAGAUAUGAACGGUGCUAAAAUUAUA